UUUUAGUAAACAAAAUAAAUCCCUUGUAAAUCCGUUUUGUCUGAUUAAACAGUUUUGAAUUUUGAAUAUGUUAGAAGAGUUUGAGGAUAUUUUGGACCAUGUGGAAGAAGAAAAUCGUCUUCGAGUUCCAAAAAGAUGGUAAAUGGAGACUUGCGUGGUGUUAGCCAACCUACAAUAAGCCAGAUAAUCAAGAAUAAUGCAAUAAUGUGGAAGUAUUUCAAAAUCGCAAAAAUUUUUUUUAGUCUAAAUGUUCAGGUCCCAAAAGGGAAAUUAUGGAUAUUAUAGUUGGAUAUCCAGGGUCAAGUCAUGAUAGUGUUAUAUUCAAUCGAAGUAAUUUAAGAAUGCUAAUGGAAAGGCGUGAUAUUCGUGAUUUACUUCUUGGAGACAAUGCAUAUAUGUAGGCCAAUUCUAUUGACUUCUGUUCUACAGCUAGGUAAUCAACAAGAAACCAGGUAUAACUUUGCCCAUAGAAGAAAGCGAAAUGUUGAAAGGCUAUUUGGGACUUGGUAAAAACGUCUUCCAUUUCUCCGAGGUUUACAAAACAACUGUUGCUAUUAUUUGUGCAACAGCUGUUCUUCAUAAUAUUGGUUUAAGGGAAAAUUUAGAUAAUUUUGAAGAUGCUAAUUUACACAUUCCAAUUAUAAAUAAAAAGGAAGAGGGUUAGAUUUUUGAAGAAAUCUUAUUCAACAUUUUGCAAAUUAAUGUAUUUAUUGUAUUAAUAUAUGUAUAUCUAGUAAUUAUGUAAUAUGUUAAGUAAUGUUCCAAGGUAACUAGUACCUAUAUAAUAAUUUUAUUUACUUUUCUAUUAGUGUUAAGUUAGUGUUUAUAUAUUUACAUGUAACAUAUUUUAAGUAAUUUCUUAUAGUCUAUUAUUAGUUAUCAUAAAAAUACUGUUUUUCUAUACUUAAAUAACAUAUGAUUUCUUAGUAGUUUUACGCUCACUAUGACCAGACAGUUAAGUGCUUGUUUUAACUGGUCACACAGAAUUUUCCCACUAAUACAUUAAAACUAAAAAAAUUGUCUUUUUAUUUUCUUCAUCAUGAAUAUUUAUAUAAAUAUCAUAUCACAUAAUAUACAAUAUUGGAUGUAUACCGUAUACCUAUAAUUUUCAAGAUUUUAUUCCUUGGUGUAAAUUCUGUAUUCUUAUUGAGUUGACCACUCUAUAUAAAGUUGAUACUCCAUGUUUUAUAGUUUUAUUUAGAAUAAUAUUUCACAAUACACAUUCUAUGAUUAUUGCGUUUUUACUGCUUCCUUAUUUCUUCUCGUCUAGAUGACAUUCUUCUCUAUUCUUUUUUUUCUAGUCUGCUACGUAAAUCAGUGACUGACAAUUUUUGCCUUUACUUAUAAAUUUAAUUUAUUCUCUGACACUCGUCCAACCUGACUAUGUCUUAGUCUCCAAGACUUAAUUAACAAAACUAACUUAAAAAUUACCUACAACAAUAAAAAAAAUAUUCAUUCUAAAUUUAUGAUAUUUAAAGAUUUUAAAAAUUUAUGAAACUAUUCAAAACUAAAUAAACCAAAAGUAGUAUUCAUUAAACAUUAAACAUAUUCUUCUAAAUACUUCUGUUUAUGUGUUUUUCUGUGUCAUGGGGUAGAACUUGUGUCACUGUAAAUAGUCCCUUAUAUUUAGUAGCACUUUUCAUAUAGACCAUGUCUCCUAUCUUUGUGAUACCUUUAAAUCUAUAUGUUUAUCAUAAUUUUUUUAUACUUCCUUUGUUCCAUUUCUAUAUGUUCUUUGACCUCUUUUCUCAAUUUUUCAGGUAAUUGAAUACUUUUCAUUCUCUACCGUCAAUAAUCUCACUUAUCCAUCUUCAAUCUUCGGAAUAUAUCCAUAUAAUAAUUCAGGAGUUUUUUUCGCCAGUGGAUUUAUUCACAGAUGUAUUUAUAGCUCUUUCUAUAUUCUUAAUAUAUGUAUCCCAUUUGUUGUUAUCAUCUGCACAAGCUGAAGGCAGUAUCAUUGGAAUAAUAAUGCUGUUCAACCAUUUAUGGUUGCAUCAUACAAAUUCACCCAAAUGUUCUGCUAUUAAAAUGGACACCCUCUUGAUAAUCUGGCUUAUUGUAGGUUGGCUAAUACCAAGCAUGUCUCCAUUUAAUAUCUGAAAACUACAAGUCGUAUAAAACCGUAAACAAA